UACGUAGGGCGCAAGCGUUGUCCGGAAUUAUUGGGCGUAAAGAGCUCGUAGGCGGCUUGUCACGUCGGGUGUGAAAGCCCGGGGCUUAACCCCGGGUCUGCAUUCGAUACGGGCAGGCUAGAGUGUGGUAGGGGAGAUCGGAAUUCCUGGUGUAGCGGUGAAAUGCGCAGAUAUCAGGAGGAACACCGGUGGCGAAGGCGGGUCUCUGGGCCGAUACUGACGCUGAGGAGCGAAAGCAUGGGUAGCGAACAGG
rnacentral:rRNA from 1 species